rnacentral:rRNA from 1 species
GAUGAACGCUGGCGGCGUGCCUAAUACAUGCAAGUCGAGCGAACAGACGAGGAGCUUGCUCCUUUGACGUUACCGGCGGACGGGUGAGUAACACGUGGAUAACCUACCUAUAAGAAUGGGAUAACUUCGGGAAACCGGAGCUAAUACCGGAUAACAUGUUGAACCGCAUGGUUCAUCAGUGAAAGACGGACUUGCUGUCACUUAUAGAUGGAUCCGCGCCGCAUUAGCUAGUUGGUAGGGUAACGGCUUACCAAGGCAACGAUGCGUAGCCGACCUGAGAGGGUGAUCAGCCACACUGGAACUGAGACACGGUCCAGACUCCUACGGGAGGCAGCAGUAGGGAAUCUUCCGCAAUGGGCGAAAGCCUGACGGAGCAACGCCGCGUGAGUGAAGAAGGUCUUCGGAUCGUAAAACUCUGUUAGUAGGGAAGAACAAAUGUGUAAGUAACUAUGCACGUCUUGACGGUACCUAAUCAAAAAGCCACGGCUAACUACGUG